rfam:Salmo salar isolate Sally breed double haploid chromosome ssa16, whole genome shotgun sequence.
UAGCUCAGUUGGUAGAGCAAGGUGUUUGCAACGCCAGGGUUGUGGGUUCGAUUCCCAC